GCCUUCGGCCAUAUCACCCUGAAACCGCCCGAUCUCGUCUGAUCUCGGAAGCUAAGCAGGGACGGGCUUGGUUAGUACCUGGAUGGGAGACCGCCUGGGAAUACCAGGUGUUGUAGGCU
rnacentral:rRNA from 1 species